AUGGUACAUACGUACGCGUGGGUCACAGACAAGGUGUCAUUGAAUAAAAUCCUGAUUGCCUUGGGGAGUGUUCGGUGUUUUAUAGAGCGUCACAUGACCGAUAAUGGCUUUAUAAACUCGUUGCCGCAAGGUUUCGCUAGUGAUUUGGAACGAACGAAGGCUGCUAGUGGUUCAGGCAUCAAGAGGAAUCAGCUACAUCUUGGUUCUUUUCUAGCAUCUUCUUUAAUGCGCC